rnacentral:rRNA from 1 species
AACGAACGCUGGCGGCAGGCUUAACACAUGCAAGUCGAACGGGCAUAGCAAUAUGUCAGUGGCAGACGGGUGAGUAACACGUGGGAACCUUCCUAGAGGUACGGAACAACGCAGGGAAACUUGUGCUAAUACCGUAUACGCUCUUGCGAGGAAAGAUUUAUCGCCUUUAGACGGGCCCGCGUAGGAUUAGGUAGUUGGUGGGGUAAUGGCUCACCAAGCCUACGAUCCUUAGCUGAUCUGAGAGGAUGAUCAGCCACACUGGAACUGAGACACGGUCCAGACUCCUACGGGAGGCAG